rnacentral:rRNA from 1 species
GUCGAACGGUAGAGGGGGCAACCCCUUGAGAGUGGCGAACGGGUGAGUAAUAUAUCGGAACGUGCCCAGUCGUGGGGGAUAACGUAGUGAAAAUUACGCUAAUACCGCAUACGAUCUAAGGAUGAAAGCGGGGGAUCGCAAGACCUCGCGCGACUGGAGCGGCCGAUAUCAGAUUAGGUAGUUGGUAGGGUAAAGGCCUACCAAGCCAACGAUCUGUAGCUGGUCUGAGAGGACGACCAGCCACACUGGAACUGAGACACGGUCCAGACUCCUACGGGAGGCAGCAGUGGGGAAUUUUGGACAAUGGGCGAAAGCCUGAUCCAGCCAUUCCGCGUGCAGGAUGAAGGCCCUCGGGUUGUAAACUGCUUUUGUACAGAACGAAAAGGUUUCUACUAAUACUAGGAGCUCAUGACGGUACUGUAAGAAUAAGCACCGGCUAACUACGUGCCAGCAGCCGCGGUAAUACGUAGGGUGCAAGCGUUAAUCGGAAUUACUGGGCGUAAAGCGUGCGUAGGCGGUUAUAUAAGACAGAUGUGAAAUCCCCGGGCUCAACCUGGGAACUGCAUUUGUGACUGUAUAGCUAGAGUACGGUAGAGGGGGAUGGAAUUCCGCGUGUAGCAGUGAAAUGCGUAGAUAUGCGGAGGAACACCGAUGGCGAAGGCAAUCCCCUGGACCUGUACUGACGCUCAUGCACGAAAGCGUGGGGAGCAAACAGGAUUAGAUACCCUGGUAGUCCACGCCCUAAACGAU